CCAAUAGCGUAUAUUAAAGUUGUUGCAGUUAAAAAGCUCGUAGUUGAAUUUCGGGGUCAGCAGGUCGGUCGUGCCAAUGGUAUGCACUGGCCUUGCUGAUUCCUCCCUCUUGAUGAGCCGUAAUGUCAUUAAUUUGGUGUUGCGGGGAAUCAGGACUGUUACUUUGAAAAAAUUAGAGUGUUUAAAGCAGGCAAGCGCUUGAAUACAUUAGCAUGGAAUAAUGAAAUAGGACGUUUAAUCCUAUUUUGUUGGUUUCUAGGAUUGACGUAAUGAUUAAUAGGGAUAGUUGGGGGCAUUAGUAUUCAAUUGUCAGAGGUGAAAUUCUUGGAUUUAUUGAAGACUAACUACUGCGAAAGCAUUUGCCAAGGAUGUUUUCAUUAAUCAAGAACGAAAGUUAGGGGAUCGAAGACGAUCAGAUACCGUCGUAGUCUUAACCAUAAACUAUGCCGACUAGGGAUCGGAUGAUGUUAAUUUUUUAAUGACUCAUUCGGCGCCUUACG
rnacentral:rRNA from 1 species